UCCUCCUCCCUGCGCACGCCUAUGCGCGUACGUAUAAAGACCAUUUCGUGUGAACAGUAGCAUUGUACGUUACUUUCUUCUGUUUCGGUCAUCGCCCAACCAUGUCGGUGUAAUGCGACAGCAGUGAGGAGGACUAAUGAUGCGACUCCAAUUGUAGGUGUUCGCACGAAUGACAACAAUCUUUCACGAGAGAGAGCAUACAAAAAAAAAGAACGAUUGAAGCAAUGACAGAUGAAAUAAAAAAAGUCCUAAGCUCGUUUCAAUUUCUCGAAGAGAACAUUUUUUUAGUCUUAUAACGAGAAAGUUAUUAAAAAGCAAGAUUGAUCUGUCCUAUCCAUUUUUUUUCUACGAAUUAGUGUCUAUUGCCGUUGACCUGGAAGUUGUUAGCGUUAAUGACCUGUGAGAACGCGGCUAUGGCGUUCCUUUUAAGUCCAUGCCACGUGCAAAUACGUGGAAUUCGUUCUGUGCAAGCGAUGUGCUGUAAAUGACAUGUUCGUGACACUGUGGCCCACUAUUUGCUCGUGGUAUGUGCUGCACUCUUAUGUACGGAAUGUGUGCCGAGACGCAAGAUCACAAACCUCUCUGUACCUCACUUCUGAGAUGAAAUGCUAUAAGGACUUGGGAAAAAAAUGAAAAUCAAAAUGUGAAAGCAAUUUCACUAACUCUCGCAUGAUUCACAUAUUUCAUAUAAUUUCACAUAAUUCAUAGCUUAUAAUCUAUCGCUUUCAGCGAGUGUCUACAUAAAGCUACGAUAGACCAUGCAUAGGUGGUUAUGCAGAUUGUUGCCCACAAGACGUAAAUUUUCAACUUGAGUGUGCUGAUAUUGUUGUAAAAAUAAAUCUAAAAUCUUGUCGCGAAUCCGAUGUGUGCACUGAAUAAUCGCGCUUGUCUUCCGUCGAACAGUGGGGUUGGCAAAAUAAAAUAAAAAGACAAAAAACACAAUAAAAUAAAAACAAACAACACAAGGCUUUGACACUUCUAUGCACUUUGUUUCUUUUAUGGCUCUUUCUGUUUUCGAUUCUUUCCUUUGUGUACAUAAGAUGCGAUAUGAAAUAAACGACUGUUCUGCCCUCUU